rnacentral:rRNA from 1 species
GACAGAGGGUGCAAACGUUGCUCGGAAUUACUGGGCGUAAAGCGCGUGUAGGUGGAUUGGUGUGUCAGAUGUGAAAUCCCUGGGCUCAACCCAGGAACUGCACCUGAAACUACCAGUCUUGAGUGGUGGAGAGGGAAGUGGAAUUCCUGGUGUAGAGGUGAAAUUCGUAGAUAUCAGGAGGAACACCAGUGGCGAAGGCGGCUUCCUGGACACCAACUGACGCUGAGACGCGAAAGCGUGGGGAGCAAACAGGAUUAGAACCGACCGUAGU